UACGUAGGGCGCAAGCGUUAUCCGGAAUUAUUGGGCGUAAAGAGCUCGUAGGCGGUUUGUCGCGUCUGCCGUGAAAGUCCGGGGCUCAACUCCGGAUCUGCGGUGGGUACGGGCAGACUAGAGUGCGGUAGGGGAGACUGGAAUUCCUGGUGUAGCGGUGAAAUGCGCAGAUAUCAGGAGGAACACCGGUAGCGAAGGCGGGUCUCUGGGCCGUAACUGACGCUGAGGAGCGAAAGCGUGGGGAGCGAACAGG
rnacentral:rRNA from 1 species